CUGCUUCCAGCUUCGGGACGAGAUCAAGGCUCUUAUCCGUCGGGGGCGUCUCGGUCGAUAUGUGAGCGACCGACGUCCCCCCGCAGACCCGCGUCCGGCCGACCCGGCUCCUUCGGAGCCUCGGGAGCAGAAUCGACCCGUUGCGGGCGUGAUCCACACUAUCACUGGGGGCUGCUCUCGGCCCGUGAGGAACGCAGGGGGCUCGACGGAAGCGUCAGGGACGGCCGUCAUAAAGAGGCAGAGGGUCGGCAAUGUAAUCACCUUUUCUGAUGAGGAUGUAAAGGGGGUUCAGACUC
rnacentral:lncRNA from 1 species